UACAGAGACUGCAAGCGUUAUUCGGAUUCACUGGGCGUAAAGGGUGCGCAGGUGGCUUUGUGUGUCAGGUGUGAAAUCCCGGAGCUUAACUCCGGAACUGCGCCUGAAACUGCAGAGCUAGAGCAUUGGAGAGGGAAGUGGAAUUCACGGUGUAGCAGUGAAAUGCGUAGAUAUCGUGAGGAACACCGAUGGCGAAGGCAGCCCCCUGGGUUAACACUGACGCUCAUGCACGAAAGCGUGGGGAGCAAACAGG
rnacentral:rRNA from 1 species